GAUGAACGCUGACAGACUGCUUAAACACAUACAAGUCAAACUUGAAUUUGGGUUUUAAAUUUAAGUUGGGUGGCGGACGGGUGAGUAACGCGUAAAAGAACUUGCCUCACAGCUAGGGACAACAUUUGGAAACGAAUGCUAAUACCUAAUAUUAUGAUAAUAGGGCAUCCUAUAAUUAUGAAAAGCUAUAAGCGCUGUGAGAGAGCUUGCGUCCCAUUAGCUAGUUGGAGAGGUAACGGCUCACCAAGGCGAUGAUGGGUAGCCGGCCUGAGAGGGUGAUCGGCCACAAGGGGACUGAGACACGGCCCUUACUCCUACGGGAGGCAGCAGUGGGGAAUAUUGGACAAUGGACCAAGAGUCUGAUCCAGCAAUUCUGUGUGCACGAUGAAGUUUUUCGGAAUGUAAAGUGCUUUCAGUUGGGAAGAAAGAAAUGACGGUACCAACAGAAGAAGUGACGGCUAAAUACGUGCCAGCAGCCGCGGUAAUACGUAUGUCACGAGCGUUAUCCGGAUUUAUUGGGCGUAAAGCGCGUCUAGGUGGUUAUAUAAGUCUGAUGUGAAAAUGCAGGGCUCAACUCUGUAUUGCGUUGGAAACUGUAUAACUAGAGUACGGAGAGGUAAGCGGAACUACAAGUGUAGAGGUGAAAUUCGUAGAUAUUUGUAGGAAUGCCGAUGGGGAAGCCAGCUUACUGGACAGAUACUGACGCUGAAGCGCGAAAGCGUGGGUAGCAAACAGG
rnacentral:rRNA from 1 species